rnacentral:rRNA from 1 species
AUGUUCCCCAUGUUCCAGGAGCUUGCACCACAUGACCCACACAAUAAGUGUGGUCACCACUACGCGAUCUGCCUUGACCUGAAGUACCAACGCUUUGAGGUGCUUGAUUCAAUGCGUGAGGCAGCUGAUGCAGACCUUACUACGCAUGCUGAAUUCUUCAUCAACAACCUCAAAGAGACAUGGAACCGUCACUACGAAAACUCAAAGGUCCAGAUCAGACAUUUUCAAUUGAGUACAUGGCGACUACGAAGCAAGGGAACACGAUGGACUGUGGCUUUCACACGUUGGAAUACCUUGCAAAGUGGGAAGGUAGACUGGUUCCCGUCAUCACAGCUGCAAUAG